CCUACUGGAGGCAGCAGUAAGGAAUAUUGGUCAAUGGAGGCAACUCUGAACCAGCCAUGCCGCGUGCAGGAUGACGGCCCUAUGGGUUGUAAACUGCUUUUAUACAAGAGAAAACCCUGGUACGUGUACCAGGUUGAUAGUAUUGUAAGAAUAAGCAUCGGCUAACUUCGUGCCAGCAGCCGCGGUAAGACGAAGGAUGCAAGCGUUAUCCGGAUUCAUUGGGUUUAAAGGGUGCGUAGGCGGACUGAUAAGUCAGUGGUGAAAUCUCUUUGCUUAACAAAGAAACUGCCAUUGAUACUGUCGGUCUAGAGUAUAGAUGACGUUGGCGGAAUAUGACAUGUAGUGGUGAAAUACUUAGAUAUGUCAUAGAACACCGAUUGCGAAGGCAGCUAACGAAACUAUAACUGACGCUGAGGCACGAAAGUGCGGGGAUCAAACAGGAUUAGAUACCCUGGUAGUCCGCACCGUAAACGAUGAUUACUCGUUGUUGGCGAUAUGACAGUCAGCGACCAAGCGAAAGCGAUAAGUAAUCCACCUGGGGAGUACGCCGGCAACGGUGAAACGUUAAAGAGUAGUAGGACGUCGAGACGUUAGCGACGGACGGACACACGGGGAGGGAGGUAGG
rnacentral:rRNA from 1 species